rnacentral:tRNA from 2 species
UGGAGAGUUGGCCGAGUGGCCGAAGGCGCACGCUUGGAAAGCGUGUAGAGGUUCAACCCUCUCGUGGGUUCGAAUCCCACACUCUCCGA